rnacentral:rRNA from 1 species
UACGAAGGGGGCUAGCGUUGCUCGGAAUCACUGGGCGUAAAGGGUGCGUAGGCGGGUCUUUAAGUCAGGGGUGAAAGCCCCGGGCUCAACCUGGGAAUUGCGAUGGAGACUGCAAGGCUUGAAUCUGGCAGAGGGGGGUAGAAUUCCACGUGUAGCAGUGAAAUGCGUAGAGAUGUGGAGGAAUACCGAUGGCGAAGGCAGCCCCCUGGGUCAAUACUGACGCUCAUGCACGAAAGCGUGGGGAGCAAACAGG